rnacentral:lncRNA from 1 species
AGAAAAUCAAGAUAAAAAUAGAAUGGCAAUAACUUAGAGAAUCACUUAGAUUAAUUAAAAAAAGUUAAAGUUAAUAAAGUAAACAAGAAUAAAUUAUAAACGCCAAGAAAUAAAAGGCAAGAGUUGGAGUUGGGCCCUUCUUUGGCCCAUCAACAAGCUGUCCAGACUUGGAUCGGAAAUUUUAUGGACUUUCGGUCCAUUUUAAAACAUGGUAUAUCGAUUGUAUAUCACAACUUCCUUUUACUCGUUUUCCUGUAUAUCCAAUAUAUAUAGAGAGAGAGAGAGAGUGAGAGAGAGAGAGAGAGAGAGAAAGAGAGAGAGAGAUAAAGAGUAUUUCAGUUAUUUGUACACGUCUUUAUACCUCCACCUAUACAAUCAACUUCCCUUUUCAGUUCCUUUCUUUUGAUACUGUAUAUUUAUGCAUAUUUGAUGUAGACCAGCGUUGUAUCUGUUUUUUUUCUCAUGUAUUAGUUCAUUCUGGACUUUGAUGGGACUUGACUUGAGAAGAUUGGGGGGUUGGCCCUGAAAAUGCAAGAGAAUUGGAGCCUGAUGAACUCAUACAAACUCACUUGUAAAGAAAACAGAAUAAUGAUUAGUAACCUUUUAUGGGAUAAAAAUUGAUACAUUACUAAAAAGGGUGAAUAAAUAAUAUGUAAGGGAACAAACACACAUAUCAUCAUGCACAAAUGUCUUAAUAUCCAAGAAAGAGACAAACAAGGCUUCAAACUUAUUAGUUAAUUAAAGGGCAAUCAGUGACACAAUUUAUAAGGAAGCUCAUCACUUUGUUUAGCAAAUUAUUGUUAAAAGAAAACAGAAAAUAACACUUUAAAUUUUGUCACCGAAAAUCGCAAGACAACCAUUUCAAAUUCAAUUUCCUUGAACAUAAUACAAGCAGUGAAGUAGAUUUCAUAAUCAAGAAAGGAAGCAUUUUAAUGUCACAACCUUAAAAAAUUAGUUAAUAGAGGAGAUCUAGCAUGGCAUAAGCAACACUCAUAAAAGAAAAGGAAAUUAUUGAAAUUAUGAAACUAGGAAAACUAAUCUUAACAAAAAUUCAAUCUUUUCAUGACACUUAAUGAUGACUUGAAGGUGCACGUUCAAGACUACCAUUUUAAAAGAAAACAUAUACCCAAUCUAGCUACCAACGAAUUCAUUCGCACAUGUCAUGCUCCAACCCAUCUUGAAGGGCCUUCAACAUGCUAACUCAUUCGAUCUAAAUUUCAUUUCGACAUGACAUAAUAGAGUACUUAGUAGUACACAUUUAGGCCAAAGUAAAGUGUUAAUUUAGGUUCAAUUUUUGACACAAUAAUAUAUGUACGUGAAAGACACUGCAAAUUACAUCAUGCUAAAAAACAUUAUCUAUAUAUAUGCAUAUUCUCAUCUUAUUAAAUUUAAAUUAGAAAAUAAGACAGCUAACGAAAUUUAAAAAAUAUAUCUUGUUAAUAAAUUACUGAAAAGAAACAAACAAAGAAGUGCUAAUAGUAAAUUUGAUAGAAUUAUAAUACUCCAUCUAAACAUCAACGCCUUCAAUAGUAUAACCUCCCGAAUCUGGUACUCAGAACGCUACACGAUGCUCAUGACCCUGAAGGACCACAAGCUAACCCAUGACUGAUAUUUGUACCUGAACACUGCAUAAUAUACUGUAUAAAUGAGAAAAUAGUAGGCUGAAACAUGCCAUAAGGUUUAAAACUGAUAAAUAUCUGAUAAAACCAUAUCUGAAUAAUAUGGUACGACAAUACCAAAACUAAAACAAUGCCUGAAAACAUCUAGUCUGAAAAAACUGUAGUCUGAAAGCCUCUAAACUGUCUGAAUAAGGAGUUGAUGGGAUAUGUCCCCAACUAAUUCCAACUACUGAAAUAAACUAAGUAAUGAAGAAAUAAAGUAAUGAUCAUGUCCUCAAAGGAUGAGGACUCACUGCUAACUCUAACUGCUAAAACUGAAAUGCUACUAAUGUUCUGGAGCUCGUGCUUCUGAACCUAUGGUAUAGAAUAAAACAUCAUAGCGCAAAUGUGUCAGUACGAUUGAAUGUACUGGUAUGCAUGUGAGGUAGGCUGGAUGCAAAGGGUUUAAAUUCAUGAACAAUGUUAACUGACUGUAUAACAUGAACAUGAUAAUAUAUGCAUGAAUAAGUGACUGUGACUGAAUUCGUGAUGGUACUGACUACUGAGUCUGAUUACUAAUAACAUGAGUCACUGAUAACUGAUACUGAGCGACUGUAUCUAACAGUCUAGGUUCUGAUAGAACUAACUGAGUUCCGUACUAUUCUGAGUUGACUGUAUCUGACAGUCCUGAAAUUCUGAAGAACUAUCUGAGUUCUAUUAUUGAGACUGAGUCUGAAACUAUAACUUUGGAAAGUAGUUAUCUAACCGACAUGCCCUAAAUAAAGCAAUAUAGCUAAGUUGAGGUCCAAUCUGUAACCCCAAUUGGAAGGGUGUCAAUACCGCGCCACUGAUAAAGACAAGCUGUGGGUGACCCUCAUCUGACAGAGUCCCCAAAAGAGAACGGUGGUAUCCUCAUCUGACAUUGUUUAUCCACCCCAUCAACCCUCAUCUGUCAGUGUUGAUGUCUCAACCUAUGCUGGCUACAUAGUUCUGGAACGCAAGAAUUGCUUUUAAGGAUCACACCCUCAACUGUCAGUGUGUGUCCUCAUCCUUGGGUUCAAUCGGUGCUAAAUCCUACUCCCAUCUAAAUAGACACUGAACAUGAUCAACUGAACUGAACUAGACUGAGUUCAUUGAGUUCCGUUGACUGAAGAAAUACUACUGAGAUUACUGAAGUACUGAGCUUUCUAAGAUUACUGGGAUUACUGAGUUUUCCUGAGUCACAUGACUGACUGAAUUCUACUGAACAUGGCUUGACUGAGGAUAUCGUGAAAAACAUGACACUGGCUCUAGGCACACAGCUAAAUUAUUAAGUACAAGUACCCCCAGAACUCGAUAGAAGGAAACUGACAAGGCAUGACAUUCUUGAAUACCCGACCAACAUCAACAAUAUAUAAUACAAUAAGUUGUGGAUUUUAUGAAGUACAUGGUUAUCAUAAUCUUGUACAUGGUAGGAAUGCAUAUACUAUAUGUCAUAAUUUCAUACUCUAACAUCAUGAGCAUUCCAACAAACAUCUACAUUGCAUAUCAAUAGCAUGGGAGUCAUUUGAACAUAAGGGUAAAACAUGAAUCCUUCACUUAAGUCACAAUUGAGUCAUAUUACAUAAUUUCUAGUCUCUUAGGCAUUUUGUCAAACACUUAGGGGUCGUUUGGUAGAGUGUAUUGAAAUGUUAAUGCAUGCAUUAGUUUAAUGUGUAUUAGUAGUAUCUUUUUUGGUAUACCUUUUUACCCUAUGUAUAACUAAUGCAAACAUUAGUUAUACAUUCUAUUGUGUAUUGAGGUGUGUAUUACUAAUACCUCAAAAUCCAUGGCAUUAGUAAUGCAAUGAAUCCAAUGCAUGCAUUAAUAUGCUUAAAGACCCUAUUACCCCUCAAAAAAUGUUCCUCAUUCUUUCCAACAUAUAUAUUGAGGGUAUUAUGUAAAAAAAAAAAAUUCUAUAGAAAUUAUGUAAUUCAUGUUUUUUUUAAUACAUCGAACCAAACACUGCAUAAGAAAAAUAUAAGCAUAACUAACACAAGCAUUACUAAUACAAGCAUUAAUAAUACACCAUAAUUUGCAUUAUUCUUAUACACUCUAUCAAACGCCUCCUUAGGGUGCAUGACUUAGGGCAUGACAUAAUCAUCAAAUUAACAUAUCAUAACCAACUAAAAUUCAUGGUUUUCAACUCACAUCUAACAUAUUUUCAUAAAAACACAUAAAGAUUCCAACUUGGGAAUCAUACAACAACAACCAUACAAACAUAAUCAACACAUAGCAUGAAUAUCAUAAUUCAUAGUUUGAAACUUGAUUCUUAGACUUCAUGGACGAAAGAAAUUCAUGAAUGAACACUAUGCAUACCUAAGAAAGGAAACCUUGAAGGUUUUUGGAGUUCUUGGAUGGAUUUAUUGAGAUUGACCUUGAUUCUCAAGGGCUAGAGUUUUGUUUUUCUUGAGAGAGAAUGUUCUUGAUAUUGGGGAAAAAGUAAAUAAUAAGUAUCUAAGGACGUUUUUAGGGUUUAAAUCCCACAUCUGGGUGGAAUAAAAUCAUGGGAAAAGACUCAUUUAACCCUGGACACACGUCUUUUAAUUUUUGUAAAAAUUUCUCGAUCUGGACCUCUGGUGCGACGCGGCGCUAUUGCGUUGUGUCUCUGGAAAGUGACAAUUGAAAAAUUGCAUGGUGGCGUGAUGCGGCACAAUCACGUUGCCACCUUGAACGCGACCUGGAAUCUCACCGUGACGCGGUGGUAUCGCAUUGGAACACUGAAAAAGGAUAAGUUAACUGGGCCUUUGGCGCGACGCGCCACUAUUGCAAAGCAAAACUAAAAAUUGACAAUUGUCAUUUAAGCUGGCUCCGCAAUGUGCUUUGGCUCAGGUGAUACACUGUCUCACUAAAAAGGCUCUAACUCUUCGCCCGGGUGUUGGAUUUGGGAGAAUUUGGUAUCGAUGGAAAGCUUAUUGAAUUUCCCACACAACAAAAAGUGAAAAUCUUAAAAAUUUCAUAUACAUAAAAGUAUAUUCAUCUUUAAAGCAUGUCUUUGACAUCUUCCGAAUGAAUUUAAGCUAGGUAAAAAUACGGGUAUUACAAAUAGUUAGGGCUUCUUUCAAAACUAAUAUUCUUCAACAGUUUAAUCUCGCUUGAAAAUCAUAAUAUUACAAAGAUGACCAAUACAAGACAACAUCAAAUCAAAAAUGAGAAAUGUUGAAUUUUACCUUUUUUUCAGACAGUGAAUCGAGACGACGAGCUCUUUUAGUUGAACCAGUUCACCACUGUCAAAAUUUGAGUUUGAUUUAUCAGAAUUUGAAUGAAUUUGCUAGAGUUUAAUUUUUCAUCAGAAAUCAUUGUUUUUUUUUUAUUGUAUUCGUCUUCUUGGAUUUUUGGUUGCGUGACUACAGAAAUGCUCCUCCAUAAUCUCCAAUUUUUCUUUCAAAAAAUCUUCCUCCUUUACAGAAUGAGACAUGUUGGUAUUUAUAGGGAAAUUCAAACUUCAAAAUUCAAAUUUGAAACAAAAAAUUUGAGGUUUCCAACGGGCAUAUCAAAAAAGGAAAAUUAAUUUCAAGUUUUUGAAGAAAAUUUCACUUUUUUCAGAGUUCUUGAAUGUGUUCAAAUUUUAAAUCACAAACUCGAACUCGUUUAUAAGUUUCUUAGCGAAUAGGAUCGUUUGAUUGUGGAUGGUGCUCAAGGUUUGCAUGAAUUAGGGACUGCAAUUUUUGACUUGGCGAAAUAGAAGUGAGAAGGUGAAAGAAAACUCGAAUCUUGACAGAGGGUGUUGAUGCCAUGGUUUCUUCUUCGAUGAUGAAGGCAAAGAGCCCGCUGGGAUGCAUUUUGGAAAAGGAAAAGUGAAAGAACAAUGGUAGUCGAGGAAAUGAGAAGACACGUUUUGGUGGAUGAGUGAAAGAGACGUGUCUU